AAUGAACGCUGGCGGCAUGCCUUACACAUGCCAGUCGAACGGCAGCAUGACCUAGCUUGCUAGGUUGAUGGCGAGUGGCGAACGGGUGAGUAAUGCAUCGGAACGUGCCUUUUAGUGGGGGAUAACGUAGCGAAAGUUACGCUAAUACCGCAUAUUCUCUGAGGAGGAAAGCAGGGGACCUUCGGGCCUUGCGCUAGAAGAGCGGCCGAUGUCGGAUUAGCUAGUUGGUGAGGUAAAGGCUCACCAAGGCAACGAUCCGUAGCGGGUCUGAGGGGAUGAUCCGCCACACUGGGACUGAGACACGGCCCAGACUCCUACGGGAGGCAGCAGUGGGGAAUUUUGGACAAUGGGCGCAAGCCUGAUCCAGCCAUGCCGCGUGAGUGAAGAAGGCCUUCGGGUUGUAAAGCUCUUUCGGCUGGGAAGAAAUCGCACCCUCUAAUACAGGGUGUGGAUGACGGUACCAGCAUAAGAAGCACCGGCUAACUACGUG
rnacentral:rRNA from 1 species